rnacentral:tRNA from 1 species
GCCCAGGUGGCGGAAUGGUAGACGCGUGCGCUUCAGAAGCGUAUGGGAGUUAUCCCGUGGAAGUUCGAGUCUUCUCCUGGGCACCA